AUGCUUCAGUGAUCUGAGAGUGUUUAUAGUGCUGUGAGUUUAACACUUCAUGACUGACAGCAGAACAGAACACAAUCUUCAUCAUCACACAACACAAAACAACAACAAUGACCUUCAGCAUCAUCUUCAUCUGGACUUUUUAUAUGUGUUUUCAAGGUUUCAGUGGACAGGUGACUGUGACUCAGACUCCCUCGAUACAAAUGGUUCAGAUUGGCGGAUCUGUCACUAUAAGUUGCAAAACUAACACAUUAGUGAGCAAUGGCUGUCCUGGUUCAUAUACUUGUAUGGCCUGGUACCAGCAGAAAUCUGGAGAGGCUCCUAAACUACUUAUUAAAUAUGCGAGCCAAAGGCAGUCAAAUAUUCCAUCUAGAUUCAGUGGCAGUGGAUCAAGAACUGAUUUCACUCUGACCAUCAGUGGAGUCCAGACUGAAGAUACAGGAGAUUAUUACUGUCAGAGUGCACACUACAUAAGUAGUAGCUGGGUGUUCACACAGUGAUAAAGAG